rnacentral:rRNA from 1 species
CCGGUUGAUCCCGCCGCCGGCUACUGCUAUCAGGUUUCGACUAAGCCAUGCGAGUCAAAGGGUCGCAAGACACUGGCGUACUGCUCAGUAACACGCGGACAAUCUACCCCCAGGUGGGGGAUAACCUCGGGAAACUGAGGCUAAUACCCCAUAGUUGCCAUAUGCUGGAAUGCUUUGGCGAUGAAAGAUUUUUUGCCUGAGGAUGAGUCUGUGGCCUAUCAGGUCGUAUGUGGUGUAAUGGACCACAUAGCCUAAGACGGGUACGGGCCUUGAAAGAGGGAGCCCGGAGAUGGACUCUGAGACAUCAGUCCAGGCCCUACGGGGCGCAGCAGGCGCGAACACUGUGCAAUGCGCGAAAGCGCGACACGGGGAGCUUGAGUGUCUUGGCAUAGCCAAGACUUUUCUCAUUCCUAAAAAGCAUGAGGAAUAAGUGCUGGGUAAGACGGGUGCCAGCCGCCGCGGUAACACCCGCAGCACAAGUGGUGGUCACUUUUAUUGAGCCUAAAGCGUUCGUAGCCGGUUUUGUAAAUCUUUAGAUAAAGCCUGAAGCUUAACUCCAGAAAGUCUAAAGAGACUGCAAGACUUGAGAUCGGGUGAGGUUAAACGUACUUUCGGGGUAGGGGUAAAAUCCUGUAAUCCUGGAAGGACGACCAGUGGCGAAAGCGUUUAACUAGAACGAAUCUGACGGUAAGGAACGAAGGCUAGGGUAGCAAACCGGAUUAGAUACCCGGGUAGUCCUAGCUGUAAACAUUGCCCAUUUGAUGUUGCUUUUCCGUUGAGGGAAGGCAGUGUCGGAGCGAAGGUGUUAAAUGGGCCGCUUGGGAAGUAUGGUCGCAAGACUGAAACUUAAAGGGAUUGGCGGGGGAGCACCGCAACGGGAGGAAUGUGCGGUUUAAUUGGAUUCACCGCCGGGA